UAGUGGUUAGAGUGUAGGGACGGCAGGUAGCCUAGUGGUUAGAGUGCAGGGACGGCAGGUAGCCUAGUGGUUAGAGUGUAGGGACGGCAGGUAGCCUAGUGGUUAGAGUGUAGGGACGGCAGGUAGCCUAGUGGUUAGAGUGUAGGGACGGCAGGUAGCCUAGUGGUUAGAGUGUAGGGACGGCAGGUAGCCUAGUGGUUAGAAUGUAGGGACGGCAGGUAGCCUAGUGGUUAGAAUGUAGGGACGGCAGGUAGCCUAGUGGUUAGAAUGUAGGGACGGCAGGUAGCCUAGUGGUUAGAAUGUAGGGACGGCAGGUAGCCUAGUGGUUAGAGUGUAGGGACGGCAGGUAGCCUAGUGGUUAGAGAGUAGGGACGGCAGGUAGCCUAGUGGUUAGAGUGUAGGGACGGCAGGUAGCCUAGUGGUUAGAGUGUAGGGACGGCAGGUAGCCUAGUGGUUAGAGUGUAGGGACGGCAGGUAGCCUAGUGGUUAGAGUGUAGGGACGGCAGGUAGCCUAGUGGUUAGAGUGUAGGGACGGCAGGUAGCCUAGUGGUUAGAGUGUAGGGACGGCAGGUAGCCUAGUGGUUAGAGUGUAGGGACGGCAGGUAGCCUAGUGGUUAGAGUGUAGGGACGGCAGGUAGCCUAGUGGUUAGAGUGUAGGGAUGGCAGGUAGCCUAGUGGUUAGAGUGUAGGGACGGCAGGUAGCCUAGUGGUUAGAGUGUAGGGAUGGCAGGUAGCCUAGUGGUUAGAGUGUAGGGACGGCAGGUAGCCUAGUGGUUAGAGUGUAGGGACGGCAGGUAGCCUAGUGGUUAGAGUGUAGGGACGGCAGGUAGCCUAGUGGUUAGAGUGUAGGGACGGCAGGUAGCCUAGUGGUUAGAGUGUAGGGACGGUAGGUAGCCUAGUGGUUAGAGUGUAGGGACGGCAGGUAGCCUAGUGGUUAGAGUGUAGGGACGGUAGGUAGCCUAGUGGUUAGAGUGUAGGGACGGCAGGUAGCCUAGUGGUUAGAGUGUAGGGACGGCAGGUAGCCUAGUGGUUAGAGUGUAGGGACGGCAGGUAGCCUAGUGGUUAGAGUGUAGGGACGGCAGGUAGCCUAGUGGUUAGAGUGUAGGGACGGCAGGUAGCCUAGUGGUUAGAGUGUAGGGACGGCAGGUAGCCUAGUGGUUAGAGUGUAGGGACGGCAGGUAGCCUAGUGGUUAGAGUGUAGGGACGGCAGGUAGCCUAGUGGUUAGAGUGUAGGGGCGGCAGGUAGCCUAGUGGUUAGAGUGUAGGGACGGCAGGUAGCCUAGUGGUUAGAGUGUAGGGACGGCAGGUAGCCUAGUGGUUAGAGUGUAGGGACGGCAGGUAGCCUAGUGGUUAGAGUGUAGGGACGGCAGGUAGCCUAGUGGUUAGAGUGUAGGGACGGCAGGUAGCCUAGUGGUUAGAGUGUAGGGACGGCAGGUAGCCUAGUGGUUAGAGUGUAGGGACGGCAGGUAGCCUAGUGGUUAGAGUGUAGGGACGGCAGGUAGCCUAGUGGUUAGAGUGUAGGGACGGUAGGUAGCCUAGUGGUUAGAGAGUAGGGACGGUAGGUAGCCUAGUGGUUAGAGUGUAGGGACGGUAGGUAGCCUAGUGGUUAGAAUGUAGGGGCGGCAGGUAGACUAGUGGUUAGAGUGUAGGGGCGGCAGGUAGCCUAGUGGUUAGAAUGUAGGGACGGCAGGUAGCCUAGUGGUUAGAAUGUAGGGGCGGCAGGUAGCCUAGUGGUUAGAGUGUAGGGGCGGUAGGUAGCCUAGUGGUUAGAGUGUAGGGACGGCAGGUAGCCUAGUGGUUAGAGUGUAGGGACGGUAGGUAGCCUAGUGGUUAGAGUGUAGGGACGGCAGGUAGCCUAGUGGUUAGAGUGUAGGGACGGUAGGUAGCCUAGUGGUUAGAGUGUAGGGACGGCAGGUAGCCUAGUGGUUAGAGUGUAGGGACGGUAGGUAGCCUAGUGGUUAGAGUGUAGGGACGGUAGGUAGCCUAGUGGUUAGAGUGUAGGGACGGUAGGUAGCCUAGUGGUUAGAAUGUAGGGGCGGCAGGUAGCCUAGUGGUUAGAGUGUAGGGACGGUAGGUAGCCUAGUGGUUAGAAUGUAGGGACGGCAGGUAGCCUAGUGGUUAGAAUGUAGGGACGGUAGGUAGCCUAGUGGUUAGAAUGUAGGGACGGUAGGUAGCCUAGUGGUUAGAGAGUAGGGACGGCAAGGUAGCCUAGUGGUUAGAGUGUAGGGACGGCAGGUAGCCUAGUGGUUAGAAUGUAGGGACGGUAGGUAGCCUAGUGGUUAGAGAGUAGGGACGGUAGGUAGCCUAGUGGUUAGAGUGUAGGGACGGUAGGUAGCCUAGUGGUUAGAAUGUAGGGGCGGCAGGUAGCCUAGUGGUUAGAGUGUAGGGACGGUAGGUAGCCUAGUGGUUAGAAUGUAGGGACGGUAGGUAGCCUAGUGGUUAGAGAGUAGGGACGGUAGGUAGCCUAGUGGUUAGAGUGUAGGGACGGUAGGUAGCCUAGUGGUUAGAAUGUAGGGGCGGCAGGUAGCCUAGUGGUUAGAGUGUAGGGACGGUAGGUAGCCUAGUGGUUAGAAUGUAGGGACGGCAGGUAGCCUAGUGGUUAGAAUGUAGGGACGGUAGGUAGCCUAGUGGUUAGAAUGUAGGGACGGUAGGUAGCCUAGUGGUUAGAGAGUAGGGACGGCAAGGUAGCCUAGUGGUUAGAGUGUAGGGACGGCAAGGUAGCCUAGUGGUUAGAAUGUAGGGACGGCAGGUAGCCUAGUGGUUAGAGUGUAGGGACGGUAGGUAGCCUAGUGGUUAGAGUGUAGGGGCGGCAGGUAGCCUAGUGGUUAGAGAGUAGGGACGGCAAGGUAGCCUAGUGGUUAGAGUGUAGGGACGGCAGGUAGCCUAGUGGUUAGAGUGUAGAGACGGCAGGUAGACUAGUGGUUAGAGUGUAGGGACGGUAGGUAGCCUAGUGGUUAGAGUGUAGGGACGGCAGGUAGCCUAGUGGUUAGAGUGUAGGGGCGGCAGGUAGCCUAGUGGUUAGAGUGUAGGGACGGUAGGUAGCCUAGUGGUUAGAGUGUAGGGACGGCAGGUAGCCUAGUGGUUAGAGUGUAGGGGCGGCAGGUAGCCUAGUGGUUAGAGUGUAGGGACGGUAGGUAGCCUAGUGGUUAGAAUGUAGGGACGGCAGGUAGCCUAGUGGUUAGAGUGUAGGGACGGCAGGUAGCCUAGUGGUUAGAGUGUAGGGACGGUAGGUAGCCUAGUGGUUAGAGUGUAGGGACGGUAGGUAGCCUAGUGGUUAGAGUGUAGGGACGGCAGGUAGCCUAGUGGUUAGAGUGUAGGGGCGGCAGGUAGCCUAGUGGUUAGAGUGUAGGGACGGCAGGUAGCCUAGUGGUUAGAGUGUAGGGACGGCAGGUAGCCUAGUGGUUAGAAUGUAGGGACGGCAGGUAGCCUAGUGGUUAGAGUGUAGGGACGGUAGGUAGCCUAGUGGUUAGAAUGUAGGGACGGCAGGUAGCCUAGUGGUUAGAG